UACAGAGGUCUCAAGCGUUGUUCGGAUUCAUUGGGCGUAAAGGGUGCGUAGGCGGCGCGGUAAGUCGGGUGUGAAAUCUCGGAGCUUAACUCAGAACGGCCAAGUGAUACUGCAGGGCUAGAGUGCAGAAGGGGCAACUGGAAUUCUCGGUGUAGCGGUGAAAUGCGUAGAUAUCGAGAGGAACACCUGCGGCGAAGGCGGGUUGCUGGGCUGACACUGACGCUGAAGCGCGAAAGCUAGGGGAGCGAACGGG
rnacentral:rRNA from 1 species